UUGGCGGACGGGUGAGUAACGCGUGAGUAACCUGCCUUUCAGAGGGGGAUAACGUUCUGAAAAGAACGCUAAUACCGCAUAACAUCAAUUUAUCGCAUGAUAGGUUGAUCAAAGGAGCAAUCCGCUGGAAGAUGGACUCGCGUCCGAUUAGCCAGUUGGCGGGGUAACGGCCCACCAAAGCGACGAUCGGUAGCCGGACUGAGAGGUUGAACGGCCACAUUGGGACUGAGACACGGCCCAAACUCCUACGGGAGGCAGCAUG
rnacentral:rRNA from 1 species